CUGUAGGUGAACCUUCGGCUGGAUCAUUA
rnacentral:rRNA from 1 species